GACGAACGCUGGCGGCGUGCUUAACACAUGCAAGUCGAGCGGUAAGGCCCUUUCGGGGGUACACGAGCGGCGAACGGGUGAGUAACACGUGGGUGACCUGCCCUCAGCUCUGGGAUAAGCCUGGGAAACUGGGUCUAAUACCGGAUAUGACCCCAUGACGCAUGUCGUGGGGUGGAAAGCCUUGUGCGGCUAAGGAUGGGCCCGCGGCCUAUCAGCUUGUUGGUGGGGUGAUGGCCACCAAGGCGACGACGGGUAGCCGGCCUGAGAGGGCGACCGGCCACACUGGGACUGAGACACGGCCCAGACUCCUACGGGAGGCAGCAGUGGGGAAUCUUGCGCAAUGGGCGAAAGCCUGACGCGGCGACGCCGCGUGAGGGAUGACGGCCUCGGUU
rnacentral:rRNA from 1 species